ensembl:lncRNA
AUCAAAAUAAAUCUCCUCAAGGGGAGAUCUCCUUGCAGAGGUCGUGUCCCACUUGAGGAGCUCUGAGGAGCUCUGAACCCCCUCAGACGUCAGAGGACGGAUGUCACAGGAAUGCCGGUGAGGGACACGGAGCUCCUCUGUGUUCUCUGCUGCUAAAAAUACAGCGUGGCUAAAGUGACUCCCUGCUCCUCUUUGGGAGUAUUAAAAGCAAUGGAAGCCCCCCCAUCUACUCCUCCAUCACCCACCCAUCAGCCUCCACCUUUUCCCUUGUUCCCUCCAGCUUCAGACCCCCUGCUGGUGUGACGGUGAGGCUCCUUAAGCGCCAUUGGCUGAAUAGUGAUUUAAGUUCUCACAGCGAGAGUUUAACGUGUGUUGAAUUUCACAGUUGCUUCUGAGAUGGUUUGAGAUGUGAUUUAUCUCCAGAUUCUGUUUCCAUCUCAUCAACGUAGAAAUGAACUCGGUCAGAACCACAAACGGAGCUUCGUUUGCUGUGAGAGAAGAGAUGACGCGUUGGGUUCAAACAUCAUAAUUUAAUUCUAGUUCCACUACAGCAAAGCUCCAAACAACGAGUUCACGGGUUCAUGCAACAUCUACGGUGGAGUCGGGCCGGUUCCCUCGGGGGGUUCCAGCGGUUCCCUCCGGCCCACCGAGUCUAAUCCUUCUACCACAAAGACGGACACUCGGGACCAUCUAACAAAGAACAAACUGGACCAAACAAGGAGCUCAUGUUAUCGUCAGAACAACGCGCAGAACCUCGGAUCCAGUUCUGGAGAGACGUCGAGAAUCAGGCAAUCAACAGUGUUCCAUCAGAUAAAUACGGAGGAUCCACAGUGUUCAGAGUCCCAGAGGACGGCAACGCCACGGCAUCACCAACCAGGCGGUAAACAAAAAAACACAAAUAUGGAGCAAAAUAUUCCAAAUAAGGCCCCUGAAGGAAUUCAAACUAUUGGUGAUGAAGGACGGGAGAAGAGGCACCAAAAAGUUGAGAUAUCAAAAAUGCGCCAGUCUGUGGUAGGAAAACGUUCCCUCGUGUUUCAUAAAAAGGUGGAGCGGGUGGAGCGGCUACAUCAUCCUGGAGGACGUUCCUGA